rnacentral:rRNA from 1 species
GACGAACGCUGGCGGCGUGCUUAACACAUGCAAGUCGAACGGAAAGGCCUCUUUCGGGGGGUACUCGAGUGGCGAACGGGUGAGUAACACGUGAGUAACCUGCCCUUGACUUUGGGAUAACUUCAGGAAACUGGGGCUAAUGCCGGAUAGGAGCUCCUGCUGCAUGGUGGGGGUUGGAAAGUUUCGGCGGUUGGGGAUGGGCUCGCGGCUUAUCAGCUUGUUGGUGGGGUAGUGGCUUACCAAGGCUUUGACGGGUAGCCGGCCUGAGAGGGUGACCGGCCACAUUGGGACUGAGAUACGGCCCAGACUCCUACGGGAGGCAGCAGUGGGGAAUAUUGCACAAUGGGUGGAAGCCUGAUGCAGCAACGCCGUGUGCGGGAUGACGGCCUUCGGGUUGUAAACCGCUUUCGCUCAUGACGAAGCUUUGUGUGACGGUAGUGGGUAAAGAAGCACCGGCUAACUACGUG